GACAUCUCAAACAAGCACGUAUUUUCAAAGAAUAAAGGAAAUCUGAAUUUUUCUUCCAUCUAUUAAAUUCACUCAUUAAAGUUUUAUUUUGCAUAAAAGUCCGCCAUCUAAUUUUAACAGUGUCGAUCAACGUACUGCGAAUCGGAGCCUUCCGAUGGGCGGCUGGGCGUACAUCGUACUUAUUACCAUACUGACUUGCAAUACGAUGAACACUUAUACGACCUAAGGGCGUUUGAACUUUCACAAUCUCUUCAUCAUACCAUAAUAGACUCGUCAAUAAAAGGAGUAAUGCGGUUGAUAGAUUUUUCGCGUUCAUUUUGGCACUAAUAGGCAAGCCAAUUGGGUAGUUAGCUUUUAUCGUUCUCGUCGCAAUUUAAGACAUGCAUUUGUAAAAGUUGGCUAAGCGGCGGCAAGGUUUGACGAGCGCUUUAUUAGUUUGACAGGUUGAUAACGGGUCUGUUGGAAUUCUAAACGAUAUAUGUAAUCAAAUUUGGCAAUACAUACAUAUGUAUAAUGUUAAAUGUUCUUCACAAAAGUUAUGAAUACUAUUGGUGUUCGUAUUUAACGGACGAAAGGAACCGAGAAAAGUUAAAAACUGGUCUACGGCCAAACGACAGGUUUAAACAUCAAUCUGUUCAACCUCGGAUGGAAUCAGUGUGAUCCGAACACGUGCGAGUCGUUAGCGAUAUAUCGAUAUAUCGAGAGGUAUCGAGAGACAUCGAAGGAUUCAAUUUUCAAAAAUAAAAAAUGCACAUCGAGGACCAUCAUCGAUUCGACCAAAUAUAAUAAUUUUUGCAUAAUAUCUCUUCCGAAUGACGGCUUUAGAGGUUUUAAUAAUACGGACGUUUCGACAUCAGAAGUGGGAUCAGCCCAAGCCAACAUGGCGGUUGUUGGAACAACAGAAUCAAAAUCUUUUAACGGCUUUACAAGCGUUAAAGCCUACUUCGCCCCUUGAUGUUCCAAUUGCUCGAUCCUGCCAAUACUAACGUCCAUGUUCAUGCUCGGGAGGCCAUAGCAGAUAUAUGUGUUUCGGAAAAGUCGCUGUCCGGCGCACCACAAUGAUCAUAUUGACUCGUGCCCUGAGGGUCAAGCUUCCAUCUGGCUCUCUCAAAUCGCCUAUUCCGGUAUGACGUGGAACGACUUCAAAGAAAUUUUCCUAGCCAAGUAUGACUAUCCAGAGACUCCCGCUGCUUAUCUAAUUAACCUAAGCCAACAAAAACCGAAAGAAGACGAACGUCUUGCAGCGUAUGCUAUUUCUGUGAUGACGUCCCUAGUGACCUGUUGGAAAAAUCUAACCAAAGAACAAAUAGCAAUCUCUAUGGUUUUGGCUCAUAUAUCCCAGUUUAACUCUUGUGUGCAACGCUUGUCAUAUACGUCUUGCAUUGAGACUAAAGACAAGAUGCAGCGAGAACUCAAGGCGGUGUCCUUUAUAAAAAAAAUAUCUUUCGUCGAACGGAGUAAUCAAUCAGAGGAAUCUCCAGCCAAACCGAGACGAAGCCUUCGGCAGUGAGGUGCUUCAAUUGCAACAAGAUGGGUCACAGAAGCUCUGUGUGUCGCUUCAAGAAAAACACCUUCAACCUUGUGAACUUUAAAGGCUCACAUGAAGAAUCUUCCAUUGAGAAAUCUCUCUCCAAUUAAAAACCCAUCAGUUGCUUCAAAUGUUCGACAAUUGGGCAUUAUGCAUCACGUUAUCCUGUUGCAAGUACAUAGUAAA